GGCAAAUGUUUCAGUGUGCUUCAUGCUUCCCCUCUGGGAAGCCUGGGAGCAUAAUCACUGCAGAAGGUGAAAAGUGAACAGAACAUCAUACGGACCCCAGACCGUGAGCCCCCAAAGCCACGGCUGUCCUCCUUGCCUCUGGGGCUGACUCAGUGGAACUAGAUUGGCCACACCAGCCUCUGUCUUCCACUUCCUGGGUGCUGUCUGGGCUUUGGCCCCGAGAAGCCCUGGCCCUGCUCCUGAAGCUGAUCACCCCAUUUCCACCCCGUUCCAUCCUCCAGCGCACCAAAAUUCUAUCAGUGGGGAGGUCGUGGAACUCAGCGGUUUCCACCAAAAUACUAGUAUUUAUCAAAUCCAUCCAACUGUGAGAAAAUACACUGAAGAAUACACAGAGAGCCUCAAAGACUGGAGCAGGGCCGUGUGUACACAGGUUGAAAACAGUGUUUCUUGGAGACAGCGCAGAACCAGCAGUGAAUAGAAUCCACACAGCACAUUCAUCAGUGUGACCCAAUGAGCCGUGAGCCGAGCCUCAGAGUGUUCUAAGACAGAACCCUGGUGCCUGCAUUCUUGGGCACUCAAACUGGGACAGGAAAGUCACAGCAAAACAAGUUACUAAAAAGUGCCUAGGAAGUGCAAAAUUGCAAAAAGAGGUUCUGAGACAAUCUAAGAUAAAAAUCUCAACUCGGAUUCUAAUAGCUGUGAGAAUAUUAGCUGUGGCGCUGUUCAUCACAGAAACGAGAUGAUGGCCUGAAGUUUCAUUGGAACGCAGACAGCAACAAACAGCCCGAGGACGGAUUUAAUAAAGAUAAAAGCAGAAUGCGAUCAAUUACAAAUAACCAAGUGGAAGAACUGAUAAAUUAAACACUUUAUUUGAGCAAACUAAUAAACUAGACAAUGAAGGAACAGAACAGCACAAAUAUGUAAAUUAGUAAGUAAUCAGAAAUAACUCACCAAGCCUGCUGGAAAUGAAAGAAUUAAUAAGAGACUAUUUGUUUGACUCUCUAAAAGAAGUUGAAAAGUCAAGAAAAAAGGAAAAUUGUGCUAAGAAAUCUCACGAAAGUCAGCUGACUUAACACAAACAAAACACAUUGGAGUCCUUGGUGUGGAAAAUGUUUUG